rnacentral:tRNA from 1 species
GCGGUUGUGGCGGAACUGGCAGACGCACUAUCUUGAGGGGGUAGCGAGCCACGCUCAUGUGGGUUCAAGUCCCACCAACCGCACCA